GAUGAACGCUGGCGGCGUGCCUAAUACAUGCAAGUCGAGCGAACAGACGAGGAGCUUGCUCCUCUGACGUUAGCGGCGGACGGGUGAGUAACACGUGGAUAACCUACCUAUAAGACUGGGAUAACUUCGGGAAACCGGAGCUAAUACCGGAUAAUAUAUUGAACCGCAUGGUUCAAUAGUGAAAGACGGUUUUGCUGUCACUUAUAGAUGGAUCCGCGCUGCAUUAGCUAGUUGGUAAGGUAACGGCUUACCAAGGCAACGAUGCGUAGCCGACCUGAGAGGGGGAUGGGCCACACUGAAACUGAGACACGGUCCAGACUCCGACGGAAGGCAGCAGUAGGGAAUCUUCCGCAAUGGGCGAAAGCCUGACGAAGCAACGCCGCGUGAGUGAUGAAGGUCUUCGGAUCGUAAAACUCUGUUAUUGGGGAAGAACAAAUGUGUAAGUAACUAUGCACGUCUUAACGGUACCUAAUCAGAAGGCCACGGCUAACUACGU
rnacentral:rRNA from 1 species